rnacentral:rRNA from 1 species
GUGGGGAAUAUUGGACAAUGGGCGAAAGCCUGAUCCAGCCAUGCCGCGUGAGUGAUGAAGGCCUUAGGGUUGUAAAGUUCUUUCAGUAGGGAAGAUAAUGACGGUACCUACAGAAGAAGCCCCGGCUAACUUCGUGCCAGCAGCCGCGGUAAUACGAAGGGGGCUAGCGUUGUUCGGAUUUACUGGGCGUAAAGCGCACGUAGGCGGAUUGGUCAGUUAGAGGUGAAAUCCUGGAGCUCAACGCCAGAACUGCCUUUAAUACUGCCAGUCUAGAGUCCAGAAGAGGUGAGUGGAACUCCUAGUGUAGAGGUGGAAUUCGUAGAUAUUAGGAAGAACACCAGUGGCGAAGGCGGCUCACUGGUCUGGUACUGACGCUGAGGUGCGAAAGCGUGGGGAGCAAACAGGAUUAGAAACCCUAGUAGUCC